rnacentral:rRNA from 1 species
GUCUUUUUGUUAAUAAUUUAAAGUCGAAUCUGCCCACUGAUUAAUAAUUAAAGGGCUGCAGUAUAUUGACUGUACAAAGGUAGCAUAAUAAUUAGUCUUUUAAUUGAAGACUUGCAUGAAAGAUUUGAUGAGAUAUAAACUGUCUCUUUUUUAAAAUUAGAAUUUAAUUUUUUAGUAAAAAAGCUAAAAUUAUUUUAAAAGACGAGAAGACCCUAUAGAGUUUUAUAAUUAAAUUAAUUAAAAAUUUAUUUAAAAAUUAAAAAAUAAUUAAUUUUAAUUAUUUUAUUGGGGUGAUAAAAAAAUUAAAAUAACUUUUUUUUAAUUUAAACAUUAAUUGAUGAAUAAUUGAUCCAUUUUUUAUGAUUAUAAGAAAAAAUUACCUUAGGGAUAACAGCGUAAUUUUUUUUUUUAGUUCUUAUAAGAAAAAAAGUUUGCGACCUCGAUGUUGGAUUAAGAUAAAAUUUAAAUGCAGAAGUUUAAAAUUUUGAUCUGUUCGAUCAUUAAAAUCUUACA